rnacentral:rRNA from 1 species
AUUGAACGCUGGCGGCAGGCCUAACACAUGCAAGUCGAGCGGAUGAAGGGAGCUUGCUCCUGGAUUCAGCGGCGGACGGGUGAGUAAUGCCUAGGAAUCUGCCUGGUAGUGGGGGAUAACGUCCGGAAACGGGCGCUAAUACCGCAUACGUCCUGAGGGAGAAAGUGGGGGAUCUUCGGACCUCACGCUAUCAGAUGAGCCUAGGUCGGAUUAGCUAGUUGGUGGGGUAAAGGCCUACCAAGGCGACGAUCCGUAACUGGUCUGAGAGGAUGAUCAGUCACACUGGAACUGAGACACGGUCCAGACUCCUACGGGAGGCAGCAGUGGCGAAUAUUGGACAAUGGGCGAAAGCCUGAUCCAGCCAUGCCGCGUGUGUGAAGAAGGUCUUCGGAUUGUAAAGCACUUUAAGUUGGGAGGAAGGGCAGUAAGUUAAUACCUUGCUGGUUUGACGUUACCAACAGAAUAAGCACCGGCUAACUUCGUG